rnacentral:rRNA from 1 species
CUACGGGGCGCACCAGUGGGGAAUAUUGCACAAUGGGCGCAAGCCUGAUGCAGCCAUGCCGCGUGUAUGAAGAAGGCCUUCGGGUUGUAAAGUACUUUCAGCGGGGAGGAAGGGAGUAAAGUUAAUACCUUUGCUCAUCGACGUUACCCGCAGAAGAAGCACCGGCUAACUCCGUGCCAGCAGCCGCGGUAAUACGGAGGGUGCAAGCGUUAAUCGGAAUUACUGGGCGUAAAGCGCACGCAGGCGGUUUGUUAAGUCAGAUGUGAAAUCCCCGGGCUCAACCUGGGAACUGCAUCUGAUACUGGCAAGCUUGAGUCUCGUAGAGGGGGGUAGAAUUCCAGGUGUAGCGGUGAAAUGCGUAGAGAUCUGGAGGAAUACCGGUGGCGAAGGCGGCCCCCUGAACGAAGACUGACGCUCAGGUGCGAAAGCGUGGGGAGCAAACAGGAUUAGAUACCCCCGUAGUC